rnacentral:rRNA from 1 species
CCCUUAGAUGUUCUGGGCCGCACGCGCGCUACACUGACGAAGUCAGCGAGCAUGUCCUACGCCGACAGGUGCGGGGAAUCUUGUCAAACUUCGUCGUGAUGGGGAUUGAUUAUUGAAAUUCUUGAUCAUCAACGAGGAAUUCCUAGUAAGCGCAAGUCAGCAGCUUGCGUUGAUUACGUCCCCGCCCUUUGUACACACCGCCCGUCGCUACUACCGAUUGAAUGGUUUAGUGAGAUCUUCGGAUUGGCGCCACUGCGGCUCAGCAAUGGGCUCGGUGGAUGCCGAAAAGUUGAUCAAACUUGAUCAUUUAGAGGAAGUAAAAGUCGUAACA